UACAGAGGUCCCAAGCGUUGUUCGGAUUCACUGGGCGUAAAGGGCGCGUAGGCGGUCGGGUAAGUCUGAUGUGAAAUCUCACAGCUUAACUGUGAAACUGCAUUGGAUACUAUCCGGCUCGAGGAAUGGAGGGGAGACUGGAAUACUUGGUGUAGCAGUGAAAUGCGUAGAUAUCAAGUGGAACACCAGUGGCGAAGGCGAGUCUCUGGACAUUUCCUGACGCUGAGGCACGAAAGCCAGGGGAGCAAACGGG
rnacentral:rRNA from 1 species